GUAGUUACCUGGCAGGAGGAAUUCCGCGAUCACGAAGAUAGUUUCUUUUUUUCAGGGCGAGGCCUAGCCGUUGCGCUCAGGUUAUGCUGAUCGCUGCGGUUUCCCUGUCAGUGAGGAACCGGACUGCAUGAUUUGGGGUAGCGGGGGACUGCGUUCGCGCUGUUCCCUG